UUCCGGGCUGGGGACGGAGUGAAGUCCCACGUAUCUCAAUUAAGGGAAGUGCCGGGUUUAUAUGAAGAACAUACACUUUCAGCAAGGGAGCUGCUUACCGAAAGAGAAGUCCCUCCUCCAAAAGACCGCCUUGGAGGGCUGCGCAGGUGCAGGUAUCUCUACUAAGAAGAUAGAAGACUUACUUUCAUCAUCUGAAUCAAAUCCAAAGAGUGUCUGACAUUUCUUUUGUGCAAGAUGAGCCUCAAGUGCUUCUGCAUUACACAACCAACAUUUUAUAAGCCACGGCAAAGAAAUGGAAAACAGACUGCCUAUAUUGGUGCGUGAAAGAGAGAUGAGUAGAGAAGGCUAAACAACAAAAAUUCAUUCAGAAUCCUCCUCCUCUAUUCUGAUUCUUGUAUUUUUAUCCUCUUCCUAAAUUCUGGACAUGAGUCUCACUUCGUCACCCAGGCU